ACGACAUCGAAAGCUUGCUUUUGAUGGGCGUCGACCGGCGCACGGGUGAGUAACGCGUAUCCAACCUGCCCAUCACUUGGGGAUAACCUUGCGAAAGUAAGACUAAUNCCCAAUGAUAUCCCACGAAGNCAUCNGAAUGGGAUUAAAGAUUUAUCGGUGAUGGAUGGGGAUGCNUCUGAUUAGC
rnacentral:rRNA from 1 species